rnacentral:rRNA from 1 species
UGAUCCAGCCAUGCCGCGUGUGUGAUGAAGGCCUUAGGGUCGUAAAGCACUUUCGCCAGAGAUGAUAAUGACAGUAUCUGGUAAAGAAACCCCGGCUAACUCCGUGCCAGCAGCCGCGGUAAUACGGAGGGGGUUAGCGUUGUUCGGAAUUACUGGGCGUAAAGCGCACGUAGGCGGACUAGUCAGUCAGAGGUGAAAUCCCAGGGCUCAACCCUGGAACUGCCUUUGAUACUGCUAGUCUUGAGUUCGAGAGAGGUGAGUGGAAUUCCGAGUGUAGAGGUGAAAUUCGUAGAUAUUCGGAGGAACACCAGUGGCGAAGGCGGCUCACUGGCUCGAUACUGACGCUGAGGUGCGAAAGUGUGGGGAGCAAACAGGAUUAGAUACCCUGGUAGUCCACACCGUAAACGAUGAAUGCCAGUCGUCGGGCAGUAUACUGUUCGGUGACACACCUAACGGAUUAAGC